CUGCCCCAUAGUCUGGGAUACCACUUGGAAACAGGUGCUAAUACCGGAUAAGAAAGCAGAUCGCAUGAUCAGCUUUUAAAAGGCGGCGUAAGCUGUCGCUAUGGGAUGGCCCCGCGGUGCAUUAGCUAGUUGGUAAGGUAAAGGCUUACCAAGGCGAUGAUGCAUAGCCGAGUUGAGAGACUGAUCGGCCACAUUGGGACUGAGACACGGCCCAA
rnacentral:rRNA from 1 species